UCGCUUGUUGGUGAGGUAAUGGCUCACCAAGGCGACGACGGGUAGCCGGCCUGAGAGGGCGACCGGCCACACUGGGACUGAGACACGGCCCAGACUCCUACGGGAGGCAGCAGUGGGGAAUAUUGCACAAUGGGCGAAAGCCUGAUGCAGCGACGCCGCGUGAGGGAUGACGGCCUUCGGGUUGUAAACCUCUUUCAGCAGGGAAGAAGCGAAAGUGACGGUACCUGCAGAAGAAGCGCCGGCUAACUACGUGCCAGCAGCCGCGGUAAUACGUAGGGCGCAAGCGUUGUCCGGAAUUAUUGGGCGUAAAGAGCUCGUAGGCGGCUUGUCGCGUCGGUUGUGAAAGCCCGGGGCUUAACCCCGGGUCUGCAGUCGAUACGGGCAGGCUAGAGUUCGGUAGGGGAGAUCGGAAUUCCUGGUGUAUCGGUGAAAUGCGCAGAUAUCAGGAGGAACACCGGUGGCGAAGGCGGAUCUCUGGGCCGAUACUGACGCUGAAGAGCGAAAGCGUGGGGAGCUGAACAAGAUUAGAUACCCUGGUAGUCCACCCCCUAAACGGUGGGGCACUAUGUGUGGGCAACAUUCCACGUUGUCCGUGCCCGCAGCUAACGCAUUAAGUGGCCCCGCCUGGGGAGUACGGCCGC
rnacentral:rRNA from 1 species